CUCGCUGUGAAGAUGCAGUGUACCCGCGGCAAGACGGAAAGACCCCGUGAACCUUUACUAUAGCUUGACACUGAACAUUGAGCCUUGAUGUGUAGGAUAGGUGGGAGGCUUUGAAGUGUGGACGCCAGUCUGCAUGGAGCCGACCUUGAAAUACCACCCUUUAAUGUUUGAUGUUCUAACGUUGACCCGUAAUCCGGGUUGCGGACAGUGUCUGGUGGGUAGUUUGACUGGGGCGGUCUCCUCCUAAAGAGUAACGGAGGAGCACGAAGGUUGGCUAAUCCUGGUCGGACAUCAGGAGGUUAGUGCAAUGGCAUAAGCCAGCUUGACUGCGAGCGUGACGGCGCGAGCAGGUGCGAAAGCAGGUCAUAGUGAUCCGGUGGUUCUGAAUGGAAGGGCCAUCGCUCAACGGAUAAAAGGUACUCCGGGGAUAACAGGCUGAUACCGCCCAAGAGUUCAUAUCGACGGCGGUGUUUGGCACCUCGAUGUCGGCUCAUCACAUCCUGGGGCUGAAGUAGGUCCCAAGGGUAUGGCUGUUCGCCAUUUAAAGUGGUACGCGAGCUGGGUUUAGAACGUCGUGAGACAGUUCGGUCCCUAUCUGCCGUGGGCGCUGGAGAAUUGAGGGGGGCUGCUCCUAGUACGAGAGGACCGGAGUGGACGCAUCACUGGUGUUCGGGUUGUCAUGCCAAUGGCACUGCCCGGUAGCUAAAUGCGGAAGAGAUAAGUGCUGAAAGCAUCUAAGCACGAAACUUGCCCCGAGAUGAGUUCUCCCUGACUCCUUGAGAGUCCUGAAGGAACGUUGAAGACGACGACGUUGAUAGGCCGGGUGUGUAAGCGCAGCGAUGCGUUGAGCUAACCGGUACUAAUGAACCGUGAGGCUUAACCUUACAACGCCGAAGGUGUUU
rnacentral:rRNA from 1 species